AAUGGACUCGCUCUGUCCGGAAUUACUUUUCGCAUAAAUGAAUAAAAAUGGAUGUAUUUAUAACUAAAAUACAUCUAGAUAUAUUCAUUUCUAUGACAAGUAUUUCCGGACGUAGGGAGUACAUU
rnacentral:pre_miRNA from 1 species